ACAGAGUUUGAUCCUGGCUCAGGUUGAACGCUGGCGGCAGGCCUAACACAUGCAAGUCGAACGGUAACAGGAAGCAGCUUGCUGCUUCGCUGACGAGUGGCGGACGGGUGAGUAAUGUCUGGGAAACUGCCUGAUGGAGGGGGAUAACUACUGGAAACGGUAGCUAAUACCGCAUAACGUCGCAAGACCAAAGAGGGGGACCUUCGGGCCUCUUGCCAUCGGAUGUGCCCAGAUGGGAUUAGCUUGUUGGUGGGGUAACGGCUCACCAAGGCGACGAUCCCUAGCUGGUCUGAGAGGAUGACCAGCCACACUGGAACUGAGACACGGUCCAGACUCCUACGGGAGGCAGCAGUGGGGAAUAUUGCACAAUGGGCGCAAGCCUGAUGCAGCCAUGCCGCGUGUAUGAAGAAGGCCUUCGGGUUGUAAAGUACUUUCAGCGGGGAGGAAGGGAGUAAAGUUAAUACCUUUGCUCAUUGACGUUACCCGCAGAAGAAGCACCGGCUAACUCCGUGCCAGCAGCCGCGGUAAUACGGAGGGUGCAAGCGUUAAUCGGAAUUACUGGGCGUAAAGCGCACGCAGGCGGUUUGUUAAGUCAGAUGUGAAAUCCCCGGGCUCAACCUGGGAACUGCAUCUGAUACUGGCAAGCUUGAGUCUCGUAGAGGGGGGUAGAAUUCCAGGUGUAGCGGUGAAAUGCGUAGAGAUCUGGAGGAAUACCGGUGGCGAAGGCGGCCCCCUGGACGAAGACUGACGCUCAGGUGCGAAAGCGUGGGGAGCAAACAGGAUUAGAUACCCUGGUAGUCCACGCCGUAAACGAUGUCGACUUGGAGGUUGUGCCCUUGAGGCGUGGCUUCCGGAGCUAACGCGUUAAGUCGACCGCCUGGGGAGUACGGCCGCAAGGUUAAAACUCAAAUGAAUUGACGGGGGCCCGCACAAGCGGUGGAGCAUGUGGUUUAAUUCGAUGCAACGCGAAGAACCUUACCUGGUCUUGACAUCCACGGAAGUUUUCAGAGAUGAGAAUGUGCCUUCGGGAACCGUGAGACAGGUGCUGCAUGGCUGUCGUCAGCUCGUGUUGUGAAAUGUUGGGUUAAGUCCCGCAACGAGCGCAACCCUUAUCCUUUGUUGCCAGCGGUCCGGCCGGGAACUCAAAGGAGACUGCCAGUGAUAAACUGGAGGAAGGUGGGGAUGACGUCAAGUCAUCAUGGCCCUUACGACCAGGGCUACACACGUGCUACAAUGGCGCAUACAAAGAGAAGCGACCUCGCGAGAGCAAGCGGACCUCAUAAAGUGCGUCGUAGUCCGGAUUGGAGUCUGCAACUCGACUCCAUGAAGUCGGAAUCGCUAGUAAUCGUGGAUCAGAAUGCCACGGUGAAUACGUUCCCGGGCCUUGUACACACCGCCCGUCACACCAUGGGAGUGGGUUGCAAAAGAAGUAGGUAGCUUAACCUUCGGGAGGGCGCUUACCACUUUGUGAUUCAUGACUGGGGUGAAGUCAUAACAAGGUACCC
rnacentral:rRNA from 1 species